CCUACGGGUGGCAGCAGUGAGGAAUAUUGGUCAAUGGACGCAAGUCUGAACCAGCCAUGCCGCGUGCAGGAAGACGGCUCUAUGAGUUGUAAACUGCUUUUGUACGAGGGUAAACGCAGAUACGCGUAUCUGUCUGAAAGUAUCGGUCGAAUAAGGAUCGGCGAACUCCGUGCCAGCAGCCGCGGGAAUACGGAGGAUUCAAGCGUGAACCGGAUUUAUUGGGUUUAAAGGGGGCGUAGGCGGGUGGAUAAGUUAGAGGUGAAAUCCCGAGGCUCAACGUCGGAAUUGCCUCUGAUACUGUUCGGCUAGAGAGUAGUUGCGGUAGGCGGAAUGUAUGGUGUAGCGGUGAAAUGCUUAGAG
rnacentral:rRNA from 1 species